CUUUUGCUGGCGACCGGCGCACGGGUGAGUAACACGUAUCUAACCUGCCCUUUACUCGGGGAUAGCCUUUCGAAAGAAAGAUUAAUACCCGAUAGCAUAAUGAUUCCGCAUGGUUUCAUUAUUAAAGGAUUCCGGUAAAGGAUGGGGAUGCGUUCCAUUAGGUUGUUGGUGAGGUAACGGCUCACCAAGCCUUCGAUGGAUAGGGGUUCUGAGAGGAAGGUCCCCCACAUUGGAACUGAGACACGGUCCAA
rnacentral:rRNA from 1 species